rnacentral:lncRNA from 10 species
UUUAUAUUUAGAUUUCAAGAUAAUUGUGUUGAAUAUUUUAUGGUUCAUAACAAACAGAAAGGGGAGGGCAGAAUAAAAAUAAAUAAAAGUUUAGUUACAUUACCCUAGCACUGACAUUGGUACGGGAAUUUUUGCUGCAAUAAGAAAGCCACUUCCUCUGACAUAAGGUCACCCAUACUUCUGGGUCUUGCCACAUCCUCUUAGACAGUUCAUCGUAGCUGGGCUGGCUGGGGCGGUCAGGACUCCAGACGCUCACACUAAAAGAGGGGUGGUAGUCGAGCAGUCACUCCACUCCUCUGUAGGGAGCUGGCCGCGAGUGGGUGCGCAGCAGGGUGCGCGCGGACCCGUGCAGCGCCCAGGGCGGCUGUGCGAAGCCGCCGCAGCCUGCGCGCCCAGGCGAUUCUCCACCUUGGGGCUCGCCUUCCUGCCGCGUUCCUCUUCCUUCCAUCCCUAAAGCGCGUACGCCCUGCAGAGUCAAACCUGGCGCAUCCUCAAGCUUCCAGGGGGCAACGUGACCGAGCCCCGCAUCACGUGUGCAGAGACGGCCUAUAGUGUCUGAAGGAUGCCACCUAGUCGCAGGCCCGGCGGCGCCACCAACAGCGACCGCGGUAGUCCAGCUCGCGCCGCGUCCCGGCC